GGGAAUGCUGGGAAUGUUGAGUCAGGGACCGGCAGACCAGGCAGGCAAGGCUCGCAGCUGGCUGAGGGAGACUCGCUGAGGGACGGAAAGACGAGGGACAGGAGCACACAAGCCUCUCCCGGCUGCAGCAGGUCCCCUCUUCCUCCCCUCGCGGGUGUUCGGUUGCUCCGGCUCGCCCUGCUGCCUCCUUCCUCCGCGCAAAUGAGGUGUCAGCUAAACGUGAUGUUGUAAAAAUCCAUGUGAGGACGAGACACGGAGGCAAUGAUUUGAAAGCGAUUGAUUUCUAGGCGGCUACCUGCUAAGCCUUGUGAUGGAUGGAUGGGAAUCUACUCCCUUAGCGGCGAAUUGAUAUUUCCCUUUUGAUGGACACACCAACCGACCACUUGCAUUGGCAGAUCCAAGCUCGUUGCAAAUAAGCACGGCCAAUAAGUGCAGUCAGGAGGAGGGCGAAUCCUACUUGUCAGGGUCUCUGACUUUGGAGGAACAACAGAUUUUUGUCUACUGGAAGAAUGCAGUGAAACUGCCAACAUUUCUAGCUGGAAUUAUAAAUUUAAUAUUCAACUUUACUGUUCCUAAUUUCUUACUAAAUAGUACCUCAAAGUAGAAGAAAAAUGUACGGAAGUGCAAGAACAAUCAGCAACUUAGAAGGAAGUCCCUCCAGGUCUCCUCGUUUGCCAAGAUCCCCUCGCCUGGGCCAUAGGCGAACAAAUAGUGGAGGAGGAGGAGGAACAGGUAAGACGUUAUCAAUGGAGAACAUCCAGUCCCUUAAUGCAGCCUAUGCAACAUCUGGACCAAUGUAUCUGAGUGACCAUGAAGGUGUAGCUUCUACUACUUUCCCAAAGGGCACAAUGACUCUUGGAAGGGCUACAAAUCGAGCUAUGUAUGGUGGUCGAGUCACAGCUAUGGGGAGCAGUCCUAAUAUUGCUUCAGCUGGACUUUCGCACACAGAUGUCCUUUCUUAUACUGAUCAACAUGGAGGUCUGACCACAUCUUCACACCAUCACCACCAUCAGAUUCCUUCUAUGCUGAGACAGGUUAGGGAUAGUACCAUGUUAGACUUGCAGGCUCAGCUUAAGGAACUACAGAGGGAGAAUGAUCUUCUCAGAAAAGAACUAGACAUUAAGGACAGCAAGCUGGGAUCCUCCAUGAACAGCAUCAAAACUUUCUGGAGUCCUGAGCUGAAGAAAGAAAGAGUACUGAGGAAAGAAGAAGCAGCCAGAAUGUCAGUUCUUAAAGAACAAAUGAGAGUUUCCCAUGAAGAAAAUCAGUUUUUGGAUGCCAGGAGAACAAAGCAUCUGCAAAUGACAAUCCAGGCACUUCAAGAUGAGCUUAGAACCCAGAGAGACCUUAACCAUCUUCUCCAGCAGGAAAGUGGAAACCGAGGAGCUGAGCAUUUUACCAUUGAGCUCACAGAGGAGAAUUUUCGAAGACUUCAAGCAGAACAUGAUAGACAAGCUAAAGAGCUAUUCCUGUUGAGAAAAACACUAGAAGAAAUGGAGCUUAGGAUUGAAACACAAAAGCAAACACUAAAUGCACGAGAUGAAUCAAUAAAGAAGCUUCUGGAAAUGUUGCAAAGUAAAGGUUUGCCAUCUAAAGGAAUGGAAGAUGACAAUGAGAGAACUCGAAGGAUGGCGGAGGCUGAAUCUCAGGUUAAUCAUUUAGAAGUGAUUUUAGAUCAGAAGGAAAAGGAAAACAUGCAUCUUAGAGAGGAAUUACACAGAAGAACCCAGCUUCAGCCUGAGCCAGCAAAGACGAAGGCUCUUCAAACAGUUAUUGAAAUGAAGGAUACAAAAAUAGCUUCACUUGAGCGCAAUAUAAGAGAUCUUGAAGAUGAAAUACAAAUGUUAAAGACUAAUGGAGUUCUGAAUACAGAGGACCGAGAAGAAGAAAUCAAGCAAAUAGAAGUUUACAAGAGUCACUCAAAGUUCAUGAAAAAUAAGAUUGACCAAUUGAAACAAGAACUCUCAAAGAAAGAAUCAGAACUUCUUGCCUUACAAACUAAGCUUGAAACCCUUAGCAAUCAGAAUUCAGAUUGCAAGCAACACAUUGAAGUGCUUAAAGAGUCACUUACUGCCAAAGAACAGAGAGCUGCCAUACUUCAGACAGAGGUUGAUGCCUUGCGAUUACGAUUGGAAGAAAAAGAAACCUUUCUGAAUAAAAAAACAAAACAACUUCAAGACCUCACAGAAGAGAAAGGAACCCUGGCUGGAGAGAUCCGAGAUAUGAAAGACAUGUUGGAAGUAAAAGAAAGAAAAAUUAAUGUCCUUCAGAAAAAGAUUGAAAAUCUACAGGAGCAACUUAGGGACAAAGACAAACAACUAACUAAUCUAAAAGACAGAGUGAAGUCGUUGCAGACGGAUUCUAGUAACACAGACACAGCACUAGCAACCUUAGAAGAAGCUCUAUCAGAAAAGGAAAGAAUAAUAGAGCGCUUGAAGGAGCAAAGGGAGCGAGAUGACAGAGAAAGACUUGAAGAAAUUGAAUCUUAUAAAAAAGAAAACAAAGACCUGAAGGAGAAAGUUAAUGCUUUACAAGCUGAACUGACAGAAAAAGAGUCUAGUUUAAUCGAUCUCAAAGAACAUGCAUCUUCAUUGGCAUCAGCAGGGCUGAAAAGAGACUCCAAACUUAAGUCUUUAGAAAUAGCCAUAGAACAAAAGAAAGAAGAGUGUAGUAAGUUGGAAGCACAGUUGAAAAAGCAAGCUGAACAGUUGUUCAAUCAGAUGUACAAUCCAAUGCCAAUUAGGAAUAAUGGGAAGCAAGGGGCUCAUGAGGCUGAAGAGGAGGCACGGAUGAAUCCAGAAUUUGCAGACAGAAUGAAACAGCUUGACAAAGAAGCAUCAUACUAUAGAGAAGAAUGUGGCAAAGCUCAGGCUGAGGUUGACAGACUUCUAGAAAUACUCAAGGAAGUAGAGAAUGAGAAGAAUGACAAAGAUAAGAAAAUUGCUGAGUUAGAAAGCUUGACUUCCAGACAUAUGAAGGACCAGAACAAGAAAGUUGCCAAUCUGAAGCACAAUCAGCAAAUGGAGAAAAAGAAGAAUGCACAGUUGUUGGAAGAAGUUCGUAGGCGGGAGGACAAUAUGACUGACAAUGCUCAACAUUUACAAGUAGAAGAGCUGAUGAAUGCACUGGAAAAGACUAGACAAGAAUUAGAUUCUACCAAAGCACGUCUUGCCUCAACACAGCAGUCUUUGGCUGAAAAAGAAGCACAUCUGGCUAACCUGAGAAUAGAGCGAAGAAAACAGCUUGAAGAAAUUCUAGAAAUGAAACAAGAAGCUUUGCUUGCUGCAAUUAGUGAAAAAGAUGCAAACAUUGCCUUGCUUGAACUGUCUGCUUCAAAGAAAAAGAAGACUCAAGAGGAAGUAAUGGCUCUUAAACGAGAGAAGGACAGAUUAGUACAUCAGUUAAAACAGCAGACACAAAACAGAAUGAAACUGAUGGCAGAUAACUACGAUGAUGACCAUCACCACUACCACCACCAUCACCACCACCACCAUCAUCGAUCUCCUGGGAGGCCACAACACUCCAACCACAGACCCUCUCCAGAUCAGGAUGACGAGGAGGGUAUAUGGGCAUAGCCGUUCCUAUAAACCAAAGUUCCAGUUUUGUUUUGAGGGAUGAUCCAGUCACUGUUGGAGGCACAUAGCCACGGCAAAAUCUCAUGCUGUACAUUGAUCACCUGUCCAACCUUUGCCUAGAGUGUGAUCCCCAGUUCCUUCAAGAGAUCCAUCUUUACCUGUCUAUAAGGAAGAAGAGGAGGAGGGAGACAUCUGGGAUAUUCAAGUAUCAAAGUUUAACACCAGAGCAGUUGUCAGAGGAACUAGUGAAAGAGGAAGAAAAAAAUGUAGCACUGGAAGGUAACAAUGAUAAUCUAUUGCAUUGGAUCUCCAAACAUGACCAUGAUAUCCUGGAGAAGAUCACAGAUGCAGAAAAUGAAUGCUGAGGUUGAUAUCUAAUGAAAUGCUGCAUUAAUUGGCAUUUUCUCCAUUAUUUCUUGUAGUCUACUAUGAAAUUAGAUACUUUGGAAAACAAUUAAGGAGACUCAAGCAGAAAUCACAAGAGCUUCAUUUCUGUUUUUAAUGGGUCUUGCAAGUUAUUUUGUUUUCACAAAAGAAACCAUCUGUUCAGAAUAUUAUAGUUUAAUGAAGUUCAGUUAAACAGGUUAUUUAAUUUUUUGUAAAUGUAUAUUGAUUUUAAUAAGUAAUUCACAUUCUCUUAGAUGUGGUAUCUGCAUUUGCUGAUUCUAAAGUAUCAGUUCUAUUGCACUAGAUUAUCAAAGAGGUAUUAGUAAAAUGCUGUAUAAGGGUGUUGGCAUUAAUCUUACCCCCAGUUAGAUGCGGGCUUUUCCAAAAAAUAAAACCCAAGCCUUUACCCUCCUCUGUUUUCUUAUAUCUACCGAUAAAAUAAUAAUACUAAAAAAAAAAAAAAACCAACCCAACAACCAAAACCAACCAACCAACCAACCAAAAACAAACCAAAAACCAAAAAACAUCGAUAGUAUAACCGGUAUUAAGCUCUGGGCCAGGUUGGAAAUGAAAUCAAUUUUUGGUACUAAUAACUGAUAACAAAGAUUAACUUUAUGAAAAUAUGGUGUGUGUCUCUGACAAUGCAUAGGACAUCUAAUUUGAGCAUAAAUGUAAGAUUAUAUACAAGAUGUAUCUAUUCCUGGAUGGUAAAAGCUUGAGGCAUAUAUAAAUAAUAUGAAUGUAUAUAUAUGGACAUAUACACAAGGAUGUAUCAACCUUUUACCAUCCAAAUGCAUACAGGUUUUCAACAAUAAAAGCUGGGACUCUAAAAAAAAAAAAAAAGAAAAAAAAGGAAAAAAAAAAUAACAAAAAUAAAGAUAAAGAUAAGAUUGCUGUGAAUACAGUAUAUGCACUAGGUCUCUUGUAAAUGAGGAACUGUUUGUUAUUGUUUUCUACAUUGGAAAACAGUCUCCAACACGGAUCCCAAUGAAUCUUAGAUGUUAAAGAAAAUACCAAUGAACAAAUAGCAUUUAAAGGCUGUUUGUAUCAAAAAAAAAAAAAAAAAAAAGUAUCUAGUAAAAGAAAUGUAAAGCACAUGCAAGGAAAAAUCAAAAUGUGAAGUCAUUACAUUGAGUGAGAGAUUAUAACUGACAGUCAAAUCUCUACCACUUCUCAAGGAGAGGAUCCUGAUGACUCCAUGAACAUUUUCAGUCAGUCUAGCAAACAUGUGCAUGUUUGCUGUUUUAUUGAGGUAUCUUUGUGUCCAUGGAAGAAAUGCUUCCAUGCUGAUGGGAGUGGGAAUUGAAUAUCUGCAUUUUUAAAGGACAAACAAUAAAUUUAAGCAUGGGUGGCCUUAAUCCUUAGUAGUUUUUCUUUGCUGCUGUAAAAGAGAGAAAUCUAAAUGGAUACUCCUAAAGUCUUGCACUGAAUUUAGAAAAAUUAUUUUUUGAACCUGUGGUGCAAUUAUCCCUAAACAUCCUACAUGAGCCAUACAUAGUAACCCCUUUCAAAUUAUUGUCUAGAGAUGAUAUUUUAUUUAUUUGUACCAUAAUUCUUGGUGCAAUCAAAGAGCAAUUUAUUCAAGCAGGAGUCUUGCUGGAUGCUACUGUCUUCAGUAAAUAGAGUAAAAUGCAUAAAAUUAGUAUAGCAUGGAUAAUCCCAAUUUCAUUCAUGUUUAAAAAGUUUGUCCUUUAACUAUCAAUGGCAUUUUAGAUCUUUGUUUUUGAAACAGCAAAGCUUUUGGGAGUUUAUUUAGCACACAUGACAAAUGUUGCACUUGGAAACUCAGACAACAAAACUAGUUUCUCAUGACAAAUUUGUUGUCGCAGUAGGGGACAAUCGUCUGUGUCUCUUACAAUCAGGUCUUUACCUUAAUUCUGCAACUGAAUACUUGAAGUAGGAAAUAAACUAGGGGGGAAAUAGGGUCACAGGUACAAAGCUGUAUAGCUAGAUAUUUAUAUGUAUGUGCCAAUUUUGUCACAGGUAUUAUUUUAGGGGCAUUUUUGCUCCACUCAUGUUGGUAAGAGUAUUGAUCUAAACUUUUAUCAGGGCCUACAAGUUAGCCCCUAAAGAGGAAAACUUUGUCUAACAUUGCUUUUUUUCUUUUCUUCUUUCUUUCUUUUUUUCUUUUUUCCUUUUCAUUUCAUGUGAUACUCUGUGCUGUUUGGAGAAAAUCUUUUCAUAUACGAAAAUAGAAUCUCGGGGUUUACAAUAAACACUGUGAUGUUGGGAAAUAUUUUAUUUGAGCAAUGUUUGGUAGGUUCCCCCCUUCCCCUUCUAAGUGUAAAGAAGCAAACUUUUGGUUAACAUUUAAGAUAAUUAUUAUUAUUUUAAUGUGAGAUCAGUCUUGUACUACACAUUCUUUAUUUCAUUUAAAUGUACAGUAUGAAUUUUGUAUUUAAUGAAUUUUGUGUAUCCAGUAUGCACGUACCUGCACAUUGCCUUUCAUUUGAAAGUGGGUUUCAAUUUACUUUUUAAACAGUGUUUAUGAAAAGACCUCAGAUGUGUUGACACAAACUAUAUCUGCAAUGUGUUUUUUGUGUGUGUAGGGUGAUGUUUGAAUGUGAUGUUCUGCAGCAAUGGGUCAGUAUUCCCUAUUUACCUUAGAUCCUCAUUUGAUAGUGCUUCUUAUAAUAAUUUUUUGAAGUGAGUGGCAUGUUCUGGAUUGUGAUAUUGAUAUAUGGUUAAGGACAUUGAUAUGAAACUAAGGAAUUCCUAGAAAUUACCAGUGGGCAUGUAUUAGACAGUCAUUGUAAUUUAAUGUCUGGUAGAAGUGUAAAGUACCAAGGUAUUUAGAGUUCAUAACAUUGUUAUCAUGUGUAUGGGAAGUAUUUAGUGUUGAUCAGCUUGUUUAUAUUCAUCAAAUAAACUUGGUUUCUUUCUGAAA